rnacentral:rRNA from 1 species
GCGUUAAGUUGCAGGGUAUAGACCCGAAACCCGGUGAUCUAGCCAUGGGCAGGUUGAAGGUUGGGUAACACUAACUGGAGGACCGAACCGACUAAUGUUGAAAAAUUAGCGGAUGACCUGUGGCUGGGGGUGAAAGGCCAAUCAAACCGGGAGAUAGCUGGUUCUCCCCGAAAGCUAUUUAGGUAGCGCCUCGUGAAUUCAUCUCCGGGGGUAGAGCACUGUUUCGGCUAGGGGGCCAUCCCGGCUUACCAACCCGAUGCAAACUGCGAAUACCGGAGAAUGUUAUCACGGGAGACACACGGCGGGUGCUAACGUCCGUCGUGAAGAGGGAAACAACCCAGACCGCCAGCUAAGGUCCCAAAGUCAUGGUUAAGUGGGAAACGAUGUGGGAAGGCCCAGACAGCCAGGAUGUUGGCUUAGAAGCAGCCAUCAUUUAAAGAAAGCGUAAUAGCUCACUGGUCGAGUCGGCCUGCGCGGAAGAUGUAACGGGGCUAAACCAUGCACCGAAGCUGCGGCAGCGAACGUAUCACUUAAAGCGAUUCAGCGGGUUACGAUUGACGGAGCGAAGCGACGUCAAAGCGUAUACAAAGUCGAGUCGGUUUAAGGAUACGUUCGUUGGGUAGGGGAGCGUUCUGUAAGCCUGUGAAGGUGUGUCGUGAGGCAUGCUGGAGGUAUCAGAAGUGCGAAUGCUGACAUAAGUAACGAUAAAGCGGGUGAAAAGCCCGCUCGCCGGAAGACCAAGGGUUCCUGUCCAACGUUAAUCGGGGCAGGGUGAGUCGACCCCUAAGGCGAGGCCGAAAGGCGUAGUCGAUGGGAAACGGGUUAAUAUUCCCGUACUUGGUGUUACUGCGAAGGGGGGACGGAGAAGGCUAUGUUGGCCGGGCGACGGUUGUCCCGGUUUAAGCGUGUAGGUGUGUGUUCCAGGUAAAUCCGGUUCACUUUAACACUGAGGCGUGAUGACGAGGCACUACGGUGCUGAAGCAACAAAUGCCCUGCUUCCAGGAAAAGCCUCUAAGCAUCAGGUAACAUCAAAUCGUACCCCAAACCGACACAGGUGGUCAGGUAGAGAAUACCAAGGCGCUUGAGAGAACUCGGGUGAAGGAACUAGGCAAAAUGGUGCCGUAACUUCGGGAGAAGGCACGCUGACACGUAGGUGAAGUGAUUUACUCAUGGAGCUGAAGUCAGUCGAAGAUACCAGCUGGCUGCAACUGUUUAUUAAAAACACAGCACUGUGCAAACACGAAAGUGGACGUAUACGGUGUGACGCCUGCCCGGUGCCGGAAGGUUAAUUGAUGGGGUCAGCGCAAGCGAAGCUCCUGAUCGAAGCCCCGGUAAACGGCGGCCGUAACUAUAACGGUCCUAAGGUAGCGAAAUUCCUUGUCGGGUAAGUUCCGACCUGCACGAAUGGCGUAAUGAUGGCCAGGCUGUCUCCACCCGAGACUCAGUGAAAUUGAACUCGCUGUGAAGAUGCAGUGUACCCGCGGCAAGACGGAAAGACCCCGUGAACCUUUACUAUAGCUUGACACUGAACAUUGAGCCUUGAUGUGUAGGAUAGGUGGGAGGCUUUGAAGCGUGGACGCCAGUCUGCGUGGAGCCGACCUUGAAAUACCACCCUUUAAUGUUUGAUGUUCUAACGUGGACCCGUAAUCCGGGUUGCGGACAGUGUCUGGUGGGUAGUUUGACUGGGGCGGUCUCCUCCUAAAGAGUAACGGAGGAGCACGAAGGUUGGCUAAUCCUGGUCGGACAUCAGGAGGUUAGUGCAAUGGCAUAAGCCAGCUUGACUGCGAGCGUGACGGCGCGAGCAGGUGCGAAAGCAGGUCAUAGUGAUCCGGUGGUUCUGAAUGGAAGGGCCAUCGCUCAACGGAUAAAAGGUACUCCGGGGAUAACAGGCUGAUACCGCCCAAGAGUUCAUAUCGACGGCGGUGUUUGGCACCUCGAUGUCGGCUCAUCACAUCCUGGGGCUGAAGUAGGUCCCAAGGGUAUGGCUGUUCGCCAUUUAAAGUGGUACGCGAGCUGGGUUUAGAACGUCGUGAGACAGUUCGGUCCCUAUCUGCCGUGGGCGCUGGAGAACUGAGGGGGGCUGCUCCUAGUACGAGAGGACCGGAGUGGACGCAUCACUGGUGUUCGGGUUGUCAUGCCAAUGGCACUGCCCGGUAGCUAAAUGCGGAAGAGAUAAGUGCUGAAAGCAUCUAAGCACGAAACUUGCCCCGAGAUGAGUUCU